CCUGAUUGAUCCUGCCAGUAGCAUGUGCUUGUCUCAAAAAGCUAGCCAUGUGCGUGUACGCUCACACAGCCGGUACAGUGAAAAUGCAAAUGCCUCAUUAAAUCAAUAACCGUUCCUUUGAUCGCUUGGAUAACUGUGGUAAUUCUGGAGCUAAUACAUGCUGACGAGCUCUGGCCUCCCGAGAUGCAUGAAUUUAUCAGACCAAGACCAAUCCAGGCUUGACCAGCUGCUUUGAUGACUCUAGAUAACCCCAGGCCGAACGCCAUCCCUGUGAUGGUGACGAUAAAUUUGGAUGUCUGCCCUAGCAACAUUCGAUGGAACUUUCUGUGCCUACAAUAGUGACCAUGGGUAACAGGGAAUCAGGGUUGAUUCUAGAGGGGGAUCCUGAGAAACGGGUUCCACAUACAAGGAAUGCAGCAGGCGUGCAAGACCCACUCUGAACUCGGGGAGAUAGUGACAAAAAAUAACAAUACAGGACUCUUUGAAGGCCCUGGAAUUGGAAUGAGUACACUUUAAAUCCUUUAACGAGGAUCCAUUGAAGGGCAAGUCUGGUGCCAGCAGUUGCAAUAAAUCGAGCUCCAAUAGCGCAUAUUAAAGUUGCUGCAGUUGAAAAGCUUGUAGUUGGAUCUUGGGAUCGGGCUGGUGGUCUGCCGACAGGCAAGCUGCCGCCUACCCCAACUCCUGCUUCUUGGCACCCCCUUGAUGCUCUUGAAUGAGUGUCCUGGGUGUCUGAAGCAUUUACUUGGAAAAAUGAGUGUUUAAAGCAGCUCGGUCGCCUGAAUAUUUCAGCUAAGAAUAAUUGGAAUAGGACUCUGGUUCUAUUUUGUUGGUUUUUGGAACUAGGGCUAUGAUUAAGAGGGACGGUCAGGAGCAUUCGUAUUGUGCCGCUAUAAGUGACGUUCUUGGACCAGUGCAAGAUGAACCAAAGUGAAAGCAUUUGAAAAGAAUGUUUUCAUUAAUCAAGAACGAAAGUCGGAGGUUCGAAGACGAUCACAUCCCCUCGUAAUUCCAACCAUAAACAAUGUGACUAGCGAUCUGGCAGCAUUAUUCCCAUGACCCGCUCAGCAUUUUAUGCAAAACCAAAGUCUUUGGGUUCCAGUGGAAGUAUGGUUGCAAAGCUGAAACUUAAAGGAAUUGACCGAAGGACACAACCAGGAGUGGAACCUGUGGCUUAAUUUGACUCAACACAGAAAACCUCACCUCGCCCGAACACAGAAAGGAUUUACAGAUUGAUAGCUCUUUCUUGAUUCUGUGGGUCGUGGUGCUUGGCCGUUCUUAGUUGGUGCAGUGAUUUAUCUGGUUAAUUCUGAUAACAAACGAGACACCUCCAUGCUUACUAGUUACACGACCCCCAGCCGUCAGCAUUGACCUUCUUAGAGGGACAAGUGGCGUUCAGCCACAUGAGAUUGAGCAAUAACAGGUCUGUGAUGCCCUUAGCAUUUUGGGGCUGCACAAGCUCUGCACUGAAUGGAUAAGCAUGUAUCUACUCUUUGCUGACAGGUGCGGGUAACCUGCUGAACCCUGUUCAUUAUAGGGAUUAUGGAUUGCAAUUAUUUCCCAUAAACAAGGAAUUCCCAGCAAGUGCAGGUCGUAAGCUCGCCUUGAUUAAGUCCCUGCCCUUUGUACACAUCGCCUGUCGCUACUACAGAUUGGAUGGUUUAGUGAGGUCCUCGUAUCGGCCAUUCCUGGGUCGGCAACUGCGCUGGCAGAGAAACGAAAUGAUCAAACUUGACUACCUAGAGGAAGUAAAAGUCUACCAAAGUUUCCAUAGGUGAACCUGCAGAAG
rnacentral:rRNA from 1 species